rnacentral:rRNA from 1 species
GACGAACGCUGGCGGCAUGCCUAAUACAUGCAAGUCGAGCGGAGUUAUGAUGGAGCUUGCUCCUGAUUAACUUAGCGGCGGACGGGUGAGUAACACGUAGGCAACCUGCCCUCAAGACUGGGAUAACUACCGGAAACGGUAGCUAAUACCGGAUAAUUUCUUUCCUCUCCUGAAGAGAGAAUGAAAGGCGGAGCAAUCUGCUACUUGGGGAUGGGCCUGCGGCGCAUUAGCUAGUUGGUGGGGUAACGGCCCACCAAGGCAAUGAUGGGUAGCCGGCCUGAGAGGGUGAACGGCCACAAGGGGACUGAGACACGGCCCUU